rnacentral:rRNA from 1 species
AUGGGCGAGGGCGAGGAGAGUAGGAAGGACACGAUGGCGAUACGAGUCCGGGAGUUCGACAUGGAGAGGGACCUGGCGGCGAUGGAGGAGCUGGAGCGCCGGUGCCAGGUCGGCCUCUCGGGCGACCAGGCGGACGACGCCCACGACGAUGGCGGCGCCAAGAAGUGCAGGAGGAGGAGGAAGAAGAAGAAGGGCAUGUCGCUCUACGUGGAGCAGAUCGGCGACCCGUUCGCCCGGGUGCGCCACUCGCCGGACUAUGUCAUGCUGGUUGCUGAGUAUGGGGAGGAAGGAGGUGGGGAGGCGGUGGGCGUGAUCAAGGCCUGCGUCCGGACGGUGAGCCGGGGGAAGACGAUGAUGAAGAAGAAGCAGCAGUUCGCCAAGGUGGCCUGCCUCCUCGGCCUCAGGGUCUCCCCGUCCCACAGGCGGCUCGGGAUCGCGACGGAGCUGGUGAGGCGCGCCGAGGCGUGGUGCGCGGCGAGGGGCGCGGCGCACGCGACCAUGGCGACCACGGCGUCCAACUCCGCCUCGCUCGCGCUCUUCGCGGGGCGCUUCGGCUACGCGCCGUUCCGGCGGCCGCUGUUCCUCGGCCACCCGGUGCAUAGGCACCGCGCGCGCGUCCCCGGCGCGCACCGCGUGCUGCAGCUGCCGCCGCCGCUCGCCGCCGCGGCCUACGCCGCCCUGCUCUCCCCGGCCGAGUUCGUCCCCGCCGACCUCCCCGCGCUGCUCGCGCACAAGCUCACCCUCGGCACGUACCUCGCCGUCGAGCGCGGCCCGGACCCGUCCCUCCCGCCGUCCUUCGCGCUGCUCAGCGUCUGGGACGCCACGCGCUCCCUCCGCCUCCGCGUCGGCGGCGCCGCGCCGCUCCUCCGAGCGUCCUUAGCCGCGGCGCGCGCGCUCGACCAGCACGCGCCGUGGCUGCGCGUCCCGUCGCUCCCCGACGUGUUCCGCCCGUUCGGCACGUACCUGCUCUACGGCCUCCGCAUGUCCGGCCCCGAGGGCCCCGCGCUGCUCCGCUCGCUGUGCCGCCACGCGCACAACGUCGCGCGCAAGAACCCGGCCUGCGCCGUCGUGGCCGCCGAUCUCGGCCCUGAUGACCCCGCCGCCGCUGCGGUGCCGCACUGGCCAAGCUUCUCCUGCGACGAGGACGUCUGGUGCAUCAAGAAGCUCGGCGUCGCCGCUGACAGUGCUGGCAAUGCCGGCGACGAUGACGACGACUGGACGACGGCGCCACCGGCUGACGUUCUGUUCGUGGAUCCCCGGGAGUUCUGA